rnacentral:misc_RNA from 1 species
UGGCUCUCGCAUCGAUGAAGAACGCAGCGAAAUGCGAUAAGUAAUGUGAAUUGCAGAAUUCAGUGAAUCAUCGAAUCUUUGAACGCACCUUGCGCUCCUUGGUAUUCCGAGGAGCAUGCCUGUUUGAGUGUCAUUAAAUUCUCAACUUCAUCAUCUUUGUUGAAGCUUGGAUUGUGGGGGUUGUGCAGAACACCUAAUGGUAGUCUGCUCCCCUGAAAUGAAUUAGCGAGUUCAAACUGAGCUCUGUCUAUUGGUGUGAUAAUUAUCUACACCGUGGAUUGGACUUAGACUUGCUUCUAACUGUCCUUGCGGACAAUACUCUGACAAUUUGACCUCAAAUCAGGUAGGACUACCCGCUGA